rnacentral:lncRNA from 1 species
AGCCCCGGCCCGCGCGCCGCGUCGUUCCCCGGGAGACCGCGGCCGGCGCUUGGGGGCGGGCCCUCGGCCGCCCGUGCGUCUCUCUGGGAAACAAGCCGUCUUACUCUGAGGAAGCAGGAGUCCGCAAGGACCCGCCGCCUUUGGAACUCGUCGUUGCCGGCCUUCCGUGCGACCGCAGUUCAAGCUGUCCCCGCUGACCGCAAGAAAAAAAAAAAGAGAGAGAGAGAGAGAUCCCGGUAGGCUUUGAUGGGCGGGCCUGACGGCGGGACGCCAGCGGCGCGCGUGACGUCAGCGCGUUGACGUGGCUUCCUAGGCGGGAGGGAGUGCCGCUUGGGAGAGCUGCCGGGCUCCUGAAGGAGGCGUCAGCCAACAUCUAGUGAUCCGUUCCCCUUACCGAUCGCCUUGCCAGGAGCUGUGGAGAAGACGCGCUCGUAGUCAGGCACAAAAAGAUGUCCGCGUUUUCACCACAGCGCAGUUCAGUGUGGUGUUAGAGAAAGAAAUGCGCCAGAAGGAACCCUCAGGAUUCCAGGGGCUGGCACUCAGAUGCUGUACUUCCAACCACUUGUGUGCACCCCCAGGAAGCCUGUGACACAGAUGAAACUAUCCAG